UCAGGAUGAACGCUAGCGGCAGGCCUAAUACAUGCAAGCCGAACGGUAACAGGUUCUUCGGAACGCUGACGAGUGGCGGACGGGUGCGUAACGCGUAUGCAACUUGCCCACUACUGGGAAAUAGCCCGGGGAAACUCGGAUUAAUGUCCCAUAAUGCAGGGGAUUCGCAUGGAUCUAUUGUUAAAGAUUUAUUGGUAGUGGAUGGGCAUGCGUAGGAUUAGCUAGUUGGUAGUGUAAUGGACUACCAAGGCCACGAUCCUUAGGGGGUCUGAGAGGAUGAUCCCCCACACUGGUACUGAGAUACGGACCAGACUCCUACGGGAGGCAGCAGUAGGGAAUAUUGGGCAAUGGGUGAGAGCCUGACCCAGCCAUGCCGCGUGCAGGAAGACGGCCCUCAGGGUUGUAAACUGCUUUUCUACGGGAAGAAAGAGGUUCUGCGGAACCAGUUGACGGUACCGUAGGAAUAAGCACCGGCUAACUCCGUGCCAGCAGCCGCGGUAAUACGGAGGGUGCAAGCGUUGUCCGGAUUUAUUGGGUUUAAAGGGUACGUAGGCGGGCGUCUAAGUCAGUGGUGAAAGCCUACCGCUUAACGGUGGAAUUGCCAUUGAUACUGGAUGUCUUGAGUAUAGUAGAGGUGGGCGGAAUUCAUGGUGUAGCGGUGAAAUGCAUAGAUACCAUGAGGAACACCGAUAGGGAAGCCAGCUCACUAGACUAUUACUGACGCUAAGGUACGAAAGCGUGGGGAGCGAACAGGAUUAGAUACCCUGGUAGUCCACGCUGUAAACGACGCUCACUCGGUGUUGGCGAUAUAAUGUCAGCG
rnacentral:rRNA from 1 species